GUAGGAAGAAGAGGGUAGGGUAUACGGCUGUCACAGAUGGCUUGCAUCCACAAGGACCCCAACUGUACAUGGUCAAGAUGAGCCAGAGAAAAGGAGAACCCAGGGAUAUGGUUGGGGAGAUUGGUUAUCUACAUAAAUAUAUAAAUUGUGUCAAGAACCAGGCAGAUUAACUAAAGGCCAGAACAGCGCCAUCUUGCAAAAUAGCAAAAAUAAUCAGAGUAACAGCACAGAUACUUAUCUAUCUUCUUCCAGGGAGUCCAGAACUAGAAGGAAGAGAAAAUAAAACACAAGUGGCAGAUGCGAGGUGGACUGCCCAGAGAGCUCAGAGCCACAAAGUCCCAGAGUUGGAAGAGACUGCAGGCUAUCCAUCCUUACCCCCCAUAGAUGCGAGUUACAACUGCAACACCAAGCCAACGGGCCAUGAAACCUCUCCGGGAACAGUGUGGAGAACCUGCAAGGAAGGCAAGAGAUGGAUAUGGGAAGACCAGCAGGUUGCAGUGGUUUUCAUGGGUCAUGUUUAUCUCCUCUCUAUGAACCCUACUGUGUCAAUUUCCCUCUUUAAGCAUGAUGCCAGAAUGGAAUGACAUGCCAUAGGUGUGAAUUGACCAGCACAGAAUUCCAUAAGAUAAUUAAUUAUUGUAGAUACCACUCUUCUGUGAUUGCUGCCUGGGAUGACAAUAGCUUUAAGUGACAUAUCACUCUGCUGCUUCAUAUGGAGCUCAUUAUCAACAUAAAUUCUGGGGUCACUUUCUCUUUUACUGUGGCCAAAUACUGGUUCCCUCAUCUGAUAUUUAGAUAUUCAGUUCUUGCUACCAAAAUGCAGAAAUCUCCAUUCC
rnacentral:lncRNA from 1 species